GCCAUUAAUCUCCAACUCUUCAUCAAUUCUCGCUUCAGUGGACUGCCUAUCUGUAUAGUUUUAAAGAGCUGUCAAUUCUUCUCAAGUUUCAAAGAUUAGUUUUUGAUCAUUUAUUGUUGUUACUACAUCAAAAGAUAGCUAACUCAAGAAAGAUUAAACGAGAUACUAAUUUUGAGUAUGAAAGUCAAUUUCAACAGAUUCUUUGUUAUCAUAAAUUAAAAGACAUUUUUGAUUAAAAAAUACACGGGGACAUAGUUUUAGAUGAAUUUAUGUAUGUUAUUGUUUGUAUAAACUUGAGUUAGUUUGGCUAUAAAAUGUAUUUCACUUUUUCUAUAUACAUUUUCUAUAUAAAAGGGCAUUAAUUUA